UGACGGUCCUAAGGUAGCGAAAUUCCUUGUCGGGUAAGUUCCGACCCGCACGAAUGGCGUAACGAUUUCCCCGCUGUCUCCAGUAUCGACUCAGCGAAAUUGAAUUCUCCGUGAAGAUGCGGAGUUCCCGCGGUCAGACGGAAAGACCCCGUGAACCUUUACUAUAGCUUUGCACUGGUGUUAGGAAUCAAAUGUGCAGGAUAGGUGGGAGACUAUGAAGCAGAGGCGUCAGCCUUUGUGGAGUCACCCUUGAGAUACCACCCUUUUGGUUCUUGACAUCUAACCGAGAUCCUUGAAUCAGGAUCCGAGACAAUGCAUGGUGGGUAGUUUGACUGGGGCGGUCGCCUCCCAAAGAGUAACGGAGGCGCGCGAUGGUUAGCUCAGGUUGGUCGGAAAUCAACUUUUAGAGUGCAAUGGCAUAAGCUAGCCUGACUGCGAGUCUGACAAGACGAGCAGAGACGAAAGUCGGUCAUAGUGAUCCGGUGGUCCCGAGUGGAAGGGCCAUCGCUCAACGAAUAAAAGGUACUCCGGGGAUAACAGGCUGAUGAUUUCCAAGCGUCCAUAGCGACGAAAUCGUUUGGCACCUCGAUGUCGGCUCAUCACAUCCUGGGGCUGGAAAAGGUCCCAAGGGUUCGGCUGUUCGCCGAUUAAAGUGGUACGUGAGCUGGGUUUAGAACGUCGUGAGACAGUUCGGUCCCUAUCUGCCGUGGGUGUAGGAAGUUUGAGAGGAUCUGCCUUUAGUACGAGAGGACCGAGGUGGACGUACCCCUGGUGGACCAGUUGUCGUGCCAACGGCACAGCUGGGUAGCUAAGUACGGAAGGGAUAACCGCUGAAUGCAUCUAAGCAGGAAACCCACCUCAAAACUAGACUUCCCCAUUAGAGCCGUGGAAGACCACCACGUUGAUAGGUCAGGUGUGGAAGCGCAGUAAUGCGUGUAGCUAACUGAUACUAAUAGCUCGAUUGAUUUACUUUGCUGUGAGAUUACACAUGUAUA
rnacentral:rRNA from 1 species